CCACCUAUCCUUCCUAUUUUCCAGUUUUUUUAACUGUAAGAAACUCAGCCUCUAAUGUUAACUUAAAAUCUGUGCAAACUUAUGUUCCAGAAAAAAUUUAUAUGUCUGGGAGUUGAAAACAAAAGACUUGGUCAAAGUUUUGGAUGCUCAUUUUGGACGAAUAAUGUCUCUAGAGGCUUUGACAAUCGGCAACUGGAACUCUGUGAUUACGUCUUCAAUCGAUAGAUCAGUAAAAGUAUGGAAUAUAAAUAAUAUUUUUGAACAAGUUCACGUCAUUGAUCGACAUGAAUUGCAGAUUGAUUCUGUAUGCAUAGCAAAAACUAUCGACAUCGCCGUGACGGUGACUCGUGGCUGCGUCGGAGUUUGGGAUUUGCAGGUUGGUCGUCUGGUCGCUCAACUUGCUGACAGCCCUCUUGGUGCCAUUGUGACGCAUGCUCUCAUAACACCCGAUGGCAGGUAUUUUUAAUUAUUGGCUCUUCCUUUGGAAUAAAGAGGGCAUUGGCGGACCCAGCAAAUCGGCAACAUCGUCCUUUCUCCAGUUAAACCAAUGGAAAUGUAUCGAUUGUGGAGGGACUAGGUGCUUCGACAAAAAUCAAUUAUUUAGCAUAGCUUCAAGUGGAGGAAAUUCAGCCUUGCCGAAUUUCUGGGUCCGCCUCUGAAAGAGGGAGAGAGAAGACAAAAUGUUUUGGGUGAACUUAUGCUGACGUUUACAAGUUUUCAUGUGUGUAUCGCUCA
rnacentral:lncRNA from 1 species